GUCUACAGCCAUGCCACCCUGAAUGUGCCUGAUCUCAUCUGAUCUUGGAAGCUAACCAGGGUCCAGCCUGGUUAGCACUUGGAUGGGAGACCAUCUAGGAAUACCAGGUGCUGUAGGCG
rnacentral:rRNA from 1 species